UUGAUUAAGUAAUUGACCAUUCAAGAGGGUUUCAUGAGUAUUUUCAUAGUAAAAGUGCUUGGGUGUCAUGAGUAUAUAUGAUGAUGGCUUGCAACCCUGUAUUAUCAAAAGUUUGGCGGUAAAUUUGAAAAUGUUUUUAUUUCACCCGAUAGUUUAUUCUUCAAAGGCAAAAGACUAUAAAAGUGUUUUAUAGGGUUUUGUUGAUUUUUGUUAAGAAACAGCAAUAAAGUAUACUUGGGUCAGUUUAGUAUUCGAGACAUCAUAUUGAUGUUAGAAAUGGCAUGGCAAAAAGUCAAUUUUUUAAAAAAGUUAACUUUUAUGUGACGUCACAAAUCGACCUGCAAUUAAUUUGCAAAGAAAAAGAAGUGAGCAUCCCUGUAAUGAUUAUCGGAUUGCAUAUUUAUAGGUCAAAUUUUUCACACCAAGAUUAUGUGUGAUAUUGUACUGUUUUUUUAUUUGUAUUCUGGAUUUGUCUUGGAAGUUAAGGUGUAAGGCUUUGACUUUUACCCCAACAUCAAAGCUGUUGUUAUAAUGGAGACGGAUAGAUGAGUAUUGUGCAAAAAUUCUGUUUUAUUUUUUUAUCUAUCUAUUUUAUAUCAACAAAUCUACCCUUAAGAGCUUGAUAUGUUUUCUGAAAAUUGUGUGUGUUAUUUUCUUAAUCAUUUGCUGCAAUCGAAAAUUGUGUUUGUCACACAAAUGGCAUGCGAUUGAGUGGUGCAUUCAAUUCUGCGCUGAAGGGUAGCUUUAUGGCUUUAUACCUACCCUCUAAGCUAAACGAUUAUAUUGAGUACCCAAUACAAUGGAUUUGGCUUCAUAGUUCGGCAUCAUAUUCAUUUUAUCAAUAAAAAAGGAAAUGCAUACAGAGAGUUCGAGUUGACAUAUAAAAAAAAAUAUAAACGCUAGAAAAGAUUUAUGUGUAAUUCUACAGAAGGCUUUUACACACAUUUUCUAUUCGAAGAAAAGAGGAUAGUUGGGGCAAAUCGUUGAGUAGUGUUUGUAGUAUUUUUAUUUUAUUUUGUUUUGUUUUGAUUAUAUUUAUCUUUAUGUAAGAACAGGUGAAGAAUCUCUAUUCUAGCAGCUUGGUAGGUUUGAAAGAUUCUGGCAUCAUCUUAAAAUUAUUUCUUAAAAUGGGUAGGUACGAGUAAGUAUUAAGUGAAAUGUAAUUAACUUUAUCAAAUAACAAAAAGUGUCAAGAGUGUAACAAAAUAGGUUCUCCGUUUGGCAUAUUGAAAACCGUUAUACAUUUUAUAUUUUCUUCAAAAAUUUAAUAAUUUUUUU